UGUACAGUGGUGCAGUGGUUAGCAUUGCUGCCACGCAACAAGGAGGUUCUGGGUUUGAGCCCCGGCCGGCCAG